rnacentral:rRNA from 1 species
AUACGGAUGGUGCGAGCGUUGUUCGGAAUCACUGGGCGUAAAGGGCGCGUAGGCGGUAAUGUAAGUCAGAUGUGAAAGUCCAGGGCUCAACCCUGGAAGUGCAUCUGAAACUGCAUAACUAGAGUAUUGGAGAGGAAAGUGGAAUUCCUGGUGUAGAGGUGAAAUUCGUAGAUAUCAGGAGGAAUACCGGAGGCGAAGGCGACUUUCUGGACAAAUACUGACGCUAAGGCGCGAAAGCGUGGGGAGCAAACAGGAUUAGAAACCCUGGUAGUCC